rnacentral:rRNA from 1 species
UUUUGUUGUUAGGCAAUGUGGUGUGUGGGUCGGCUGGCGGGACUAUCACUCCACUCGAAGUCCAGCAUUGAGUAUGGCAAUCAUUGGAUUUGGCCCAUAGAGGGUGAGAGGCCCGUACCGAGUGGAGGUUCAGACAUGUACGAUAGUUCACCAGGCCGGCCUUAGAGUCGGGUUGUUUGAGAUUGCAGCCCAAAGUGGGUGGUAAACUCCAUCCAAGGCUAAAUACUGCCACGAGUCCGAUAGCGAACAAGUACCAUGAGGGAAAGUUGAAAAGUACUCUGAAGAGAGAGUAAACAGCACGUGAAGCCGCAUACAGGUAAACGGGUGGCGUCAAGCUGCAAGCCCGGAGGAUUCAGCUGACUAGGAUGUAGUGUACGCGCGCCUGGUGCGUCGAGAGGCCAGAAUAAGAUGUUGGUGGUCCACUCCUUUAUUGAGAGUGGGGUGCAAUCGGUGUGCGCGCUUGCGUGUGCACUAAUUGUUACUAUACGUGCCGGUUUGGUGCCGGAGUAUGCCGCUCGUCUGUUGGGCCGUCUAGUCAGUGCAUUUUCUCCGUGGUGAACACCACGACCGGUGGAAUUGCCAGUCUGCUGUGAUCAAAUCGUGGUCUUCUGGCGCACGUAAUUGCGUUGGGUGGGCACGAUCGCAGGUGGAGUCGGUGGACGGCGCAGUGGUACUUUAGUGCUGCCGCGUGUUAUCGUGCACUCUCUAUCGUAAACGGUUAGUGAUUGGGUUGACUGAGUGCUGUAACUACUUCCCUCCUAACCGGCGGAUUACAGUGGUGAAAAGGACUGUGCAGGGCACCGGAGUUGUCCACCUCAUUCAAUAUGGUACCCGACACGCGCGUUACAGGUGCUAUAAUACAAUUGGGAUACGCCGCUGUCUGCCUGGUGUUAGGCCUGGCUGUCGUGUUGCCUGCACAAUCAUUGUGGGUCCGGCGGUCAAUGGUUUUAAUACUUGGUUGUCGCAGUGUUGUUGCGUAUCUCAGGUGUCUGUGGUACCGGAGGUGUUAUAGUCAGUGGUGCUGUGGUAGACGAGCUACCCGACCCGUCUUGAAACACGGACCAAGGAGUUUAACAUGUGUGCAAGUCAAAGGGUCCUACGAAACCCCUAGGCGCAGUGAAAGUAAAAUUUAUGCUGUACUUCUGCACAUGCGCAGUGCAGUGUAAUGAGGUGAGAUCUCGUUGUACUCAUGACACACGCCGCAGACCUUACUGGGCAUUGAUUAGGGGCAACGAGCGCAUCACCGGCCCGUCCCAUGAUGUGGUCAUAGGUACACUUGUGUGCAGAGUGGUAAC